GUGGCCACCAGAUUGCAGCUCAAGCCUCCUUAGGGCUUUGGUAGCAGGACAGAUGCCUCAGAACCUGUGCUAUAGGCAGUCGUGUCUCCCUUAAUUAAGAAGAUGGAGGGUGCUGAGAAGCUGCUGGGAGCACAGCAGUGCUGCUCUUCCUCCAGACUGUAGAGCUGCAGGGAAGCACAGCAGGGAAGGACUACUCGGAGGAAACCCAGUGCCUGCCCUCCUGCCAUGGGGAUGAGCCACGGAAAAUGCUUCAGCUGCUGGUACAGAGGGCUCCCGAGAAGCUGGGAAGACAGCAGGACAGCGCUGCCCCAUCCUUUCUGUACCCCGGCGCACAGACCCAGCACAGCCAGCUGCCCCUGCGGACAGGCUGAGAGAUGAGAGGGCUUUUUUUUUCCCCUGAUGACUGCCCUCCCUGUGAUCUUAGCCUCUAUUUGUAACAGCAGCAGAUCCAUGUCCGCAGACAAAAUCUGCUUUUCAAGCGACGAUGUCCCUUUUUAUAACAAAUGCUGCCAGCUCCUAGAAGUGAUAGCUCACCAUCGGCAAAAGGACACUGGGAUGCUCUCCGAGAUGCCGUGCCGAAUAGAUCUUCCACUGUACAGCAACAAAUCAAAUUUAGGGAGAAAGAAUUUGAAAACAAAUUACCAGUGAGAUAUUUCAAGCUGACAGCAAUUUGGAGCAACUUAGGUCUGUCUGGCCCGGGAACGCUCGGCAGUGCGGAGGAGGCAGUGCUUCUGUUCGGAUGCAGUCACUUCCUAAGAAUGAAGCCCAGCGUGUUUCUAGUAGAACGCUUCUCUCUGAGAGAGUGGGCAGUGAUGGUGAAUGAAAUGGUUGUGAGCCCCGGAGCAGUGAGGGGAGGAUGGGCACAGUGGCUGUAGCCCCAGCUGAUGCUGUGCCAACCCUGGGAUGCAGCAGAGCCCAGCGGGGCAGCAGUCCCAUUCCCAG
ensembl:lncRNA